CCUACGGGAGGCAGCAGUGGGGAAUAUUGGGCAAUGGGCGCAAGCCUGACCCAGCAACGCCGCGUGAAGGAAGAAGGCUUUCGGGUUGUAAACUUCUUUUCUCAGGGACGAAGCAAGUGACGGUACCUGAGGAAUAAGCCACGGCUAACUACGUGCCAGCAGCCGCGGUAAUACGUAGGUGGCAAGCGUUAUGCGGAUUUACUGGGUGUAAGGGGCGUGUAGGCGGGAAAGCAAGUCAGAUGUGAAAACCAUGGGCUCAACCUGUGGCCUGCAUUUGAAACUGUUUUUCUUGAGUACUGGAGAGGCAGACGGAAUUCCUAGUGUAGCGGUGAAAUGCGUAGAUAUUAGGAGGAACACCAGUGGCGAAGGCGGUCUGCUGGACAGCAACUGACGCUGAGGCGCGAAAGCGUGGGGAGCAAACAGGAUUAGAUACCCCUGUAGUC
rnacentral:rRNA from 1 species